rnacentral:lncRNA from 1 species
UAUUUUUUAAUAUCUUUUGGAAAAUUCUCUUAGAAAUAUAUAUAAGGUAUUCUCCGGGUAAUUCAAAUCGAAGUAAUUUGAUGUCUGACUCAGGCCUAUAUGACCGAUCGAUAGAGAUACUCUAACACUCCACCUUCGUCAUAUAUUCCAUAUAUCACAUUAGAUAGAUAUUAUAUUCAUGAAAUACGAUUCACUUUCAAAAUGCCUUGAUGGUAGAUGAUGAUGCUAGAACUUAGAAUCUACUUUCAGUACAAUAUUAUCUUAAAAAUCGAUCUAAUAAACAAUAGACAAAAAAUAUAUUUAACAUAAAUAAUUUUAGCUAAUUAUAUUAGCAAGAUAAAGCCUUUUGCUCUAUCAAAUUUACUCGUUUGAGUUAUAAACUUAGUAAAAUUUUUUAGUUUAACUAACUAGAAUAACUUAGAUUAAAAAGAUAAAAACUAGAAGAGUCUCAAUAAAGAAGAGGGUAAAGAGCUGAGGGGCGUUUUCAAAAUCGACUAAUGUUGAGGGGUUCUCCAUUUAUUUUUAACAAUUAAGAUUGACCUUAUUAACAGAGUAUUUUGAUUAAUAAUUAAGAAGUUCAAAUUUGCAAUAUGAAAUAUAUCAAUUUAAUGAAAUAUGAAUUUUUUCUCAAACUCGAUGAAGUUGAAAACUUUGUUAAAUUUAACCACUCCUACAGAGAUUAAUUAUUUUAUUAUUUUAACUUAUUUUGCUAAGAAAUAAUUGGCGUGACUAAGUUGGAUAGAAUUAUGAAUAAAUUUGAUAAGAAUCCUAAUUUAUAUGACUAAAAUUAAUUAAUUUUAACAUAAUAAAAGAAUUUUAAAAAAGUGUUAGUAAACAAAUUUAUAAAUCCAGGGUUGUUUCAAAAUUUUCUAUAGUUGAGGGGUGCUUCAAGUGUUUUUGCCAAUUUAAAUAUUUAAUUUGACCUCUUUAGCCGCGUACUCUGAUUGACUUGAAAAACCAAGAGCCGGCGAAGAACGCGAGUUUUCCGCUGGACCGGGGCCACGAAUUGGGGAAAUCGUUCCAUGGACCGCAUCCAUGGACCGCCGUCUAUGGACAACUACUUCACGGGGACCCAUCAUCAUCAGGAUUCAGGAGAAAUGGUUACAAGUCUCUGAUAAUAAAAUGCUGCGUUAGUGUUGACACCUAAUUUUUAGAUCGAGACGUGAACGAACGAAUUCGGAGAAAACACGUGGGGAUCGCCGAAAAAAGGAUUUGGUAAAGGGGUUUUGCUUUGGUUAAGAUUUUGAAAAAAAAAAAAAAGAUUUUGAAAUGAGACAUACCGAAGAUCAUUGCAGUAAAAGCUUCAGCAACGCUUAACAAUUCGAGUUAGGAUCGCCUGAGAAGUUUUUUUUUUUAAAAAUAAAUAGAAAAUGCCCGAAAAGUCUACAAAAAGAUGCACAAUUAGGAAAUACUUAAGAACGUAUUUGGUUUUAUCUUACCAGGAUUACUAUAUUUGAUUCAUACACUCUGUGAUCUGGUCAUUAAUGUAACAUUUCAGAGAUGAGGAUUACUUUAAUAACAUUACCGAACAGAAAUGAUUUUUUUGUUUUACUGAUUACUGGUUAUCUUGUAUGUUACUUAAAAUUACAAGUUUCUCCCUCAAAUUUCUCAAAUAAUUUGAUUCAAAAAUCUCAGAUUUUGAUUUAGAAAUCUUAGAAAUUUAAUUAUAUCAAAAAAAUCUAUAAUAUUAUAUAAUGCGAAUCAAAUGGGUCCGCCCCUAUAAAUAAAGCGAGUUAUCUCGCGAAAAUCAUUCUGACUACAGCUAAUUCCUCAUUACAACUCAUUAAGGCUACUCCGCAUGCGAGACGAAGUGUACAAAUCGUAGAGCGACAUGUGUCCAACCAGCAGUUAACCCUCGAAUACUUAACGUACCGUUUGGUUCGGGUAUAAACAAGAACUAGCUAUUACAGGGAUAGGUACAAGUAUGGGAAUAGGAAAAAUAGCGUUUGGAUGAAAAUUGGGUUGUUCCCGAGGAUAAGAAAAAUAUUAGGAAGUGUUAUAUAGAAAAUGGAGGUGUUGGUGGGGAUAACCGAGAACUACUAUUCUCGAGUAAAAAAUUAGCGUUUGGGUAUAAAGGGGGGGAUAAGGGCCUAUUCCUAUCCCUAUUCCCUAAAUAUAUAUAUUUAAUUAAUAAAGAAUAAUAUUUUGAAUAUUUUUUAUAUUCAUUAGUUUCUUAUGUUUGAGUCGAAGGCUUUUCAUAAACUCUAAAAUUCCGAUGAGAUUCGAACACAAAACUUUCUUACUCUUCUGUAUCAAGUAAAACAAGUAUGUAGAAAUUGAGAGAUGAGGAGCACUGCAAUCAACAUAUUUAGAAUAGAUAUUAUAUUUGGUCUUCAAUUUUUCGAAAUGAGAUAAAUUGUCUCGUAAGUGAAAUAUAUUAUCUUACAAAAUCACAUAAUAUCAAAGCAUAUUAGGAAGCCAAAAAAAAAAUCCUUUCAAUCAUACAAAAAUAUUGCUAUAUCAAAUAAACUAUCACUGAAUAACUUAUUCUGACACUUAAACAAGAUCUGAAAAUUUAAGCGAUUAGAAAAAUAUAAUUUUUAACAUUUUAUAGUCAAUAUUAUAUAAGAUAAAGAUUUAUUUUGAUUGGUUUAUAUAAGCAAUCUUCUUAAAUAGAUAAAACUAUCAUAACAAUGUAAAAAAGAAAUCCUAAAAAAUUUUAUUGAGCGAUUUUGGAGCUCAAAAUCUUAUUUUAACUUUUUGUCGGCAACUGAAGCAGCAGUGGUGAAGAACCUAAUACUGCACCAAAAAGUAGAAACGGAAACAAUGAAUGAGGCUAGUGUAAUUGUAUAUUAUUAGUUAUAAUAUAAUAAUUUAGCUUAUUAGCACUAAUAAUUCGUUGCACUCUAAAACAUCAGCUUAUAAUAUUUAAGCUUAAUUAUUAAUAUUAAAGCCUCUAUUUCUUAUAUAUUCAAUUAUAAACGGUCAAAAGUGAUAAUCGUUAACUCAACUGCAGCUUCUUGACUUCUCCUCAGCAGUAGAUCAAAUUAAACAAUUUAUUCAAAAGCGAAUGUCGAAUGUCGUCUCCACCACGGCAAUUGGAAAUAGACUCAAUGCAAACCACGUGCGUCACAAAUCUAGUUUGCAAAGUUGGUAUAUAUGAGUAACAUGCGGCACCGAUAACUUUAUCUAUCAGAUAAGACCAGUGUGCAAUUAUAGAGCCAAUUGAAAGAGCUGUGUAACAAGCUCUAAUAUGAUAGAUCGACACACACCUUAAGAAGAGUUUCGAUUAGUUUUCAUACGUAAUUUACCGAUUGUUCCUAGAACAAGUGGCAAAGGACUUGAUGGUUAGUACCCGAUGUCCUAAGUUCGAAUCCUAGCUAGUUGAUUCACAUUCCAGCUAAGUUUAUUUCUAAAUGAAAUAAAUUGAAGUGGAUAACAUGCUACCUAUCUCUCAAAAAAAAAAAAAAUUUUUUUUCAUACAUAAUUUGAAGGUAUUGUAUAAAUUUAUCAGUAUAUCAACAGCUCAUAACUAUUUCUUCUCGCACAUUCGAAGCAUUCAAGAGCAUUAGUUAUUUCGGACUACUAUAUAUCCAAGACAUGUGAUGACAUUCAUUUUAAGAGCAGGAUUAGUGUACUGUGAGCUUUUAUUUUGUCUGGGAGUUAAGGGCGUGGUCAUUAAAUACCAGAACAAGUGGGUACGAAGAGAACAAGUCUAAUUAAGUAAUGCAGCAGUAGUACAUGCAUUAAUUCAACAACUUACCAGGCGAAUUUAUUUAUGCCAUUAUUAUAGAGAUAUAUACAAGCAUACUGCUCAUUUAUCAAUUGCCCCAUGCUCUUUGAAGUAAACAAUAUAUAUAGAGAGAGAGAGAGUGAGAUUACUAUACUUCUGGAAGCACGGAGCCUUUCCUGCUUUCAGGUUGUUUUCGAUGUUGCGACUUUCGAAUCGUCGAUUCGCUCCAUUAAACUUGAUCUAGAUUAUUUGAAGUACCUAGAAAAUAAAUUUUACAAUUUUUCGAUAUCAUUUGCCUAGUGAACGAAGGGGCUCAAAAUCAACGACUGAAAAUAAAAAUCAUACAAAACAUGAUAAAAUGACAUUAAAAUUUUAGAUCAAGAUAUUGAUCUUGUUUUAUAUAGUAUAAAAAACUUUCUAUCAAAAUUUCAUGCGAUUUGGAUAUUUCUACACCGUUAAACUGGCAAACAGCUUACUACGACUAUUAAAAUCAUUGAUUUUGAGCCCAUUCGAUCACUAGGCAAAUGAUAUCGAAAAACCAUAAAAUUUAAUUUCUAGGUAUUUCAAAUACUCUAGAUCAAGUUUAACGGAGCCGAUCGACGAUUCGAAAGUCACACCAUCGAAAACGACCUAAAAGCAUGAAAGGUUCCAUACUUCCAAAAGUAUUGUAGCCUCACACACACUAUAUAUAUAGAACUAGGCUACUAUGCUAUUAAUAGCACCAAGUCAUUGGUGCAACCAAGUUUUUGGCCAUUAGAUUAAGAGAUGUGCUGUUAGGAUGAUGUGGGCCCCCUAGGGUUGAGUAAGUGGUUGGUUGAAUAGUAUGAUCUACCGGGUGAAAAUGAUUAAAAAGGUAGAUCUAACGGCGAAAAACUUGGUAGCACCAAGUGCUUCGUGCUAUUAGUAGCCGGACUAGAAUACUAUCGAUAGCAAACGGGCUCCGUUGCCACCCAUUUAUUUUCGCUGAUGGAGCCUUCAAAUCGAUGAUCGGCACCGUUGAACAUGAUUUAUACCACUUGAAGUGUUUAGAAAUCAAAUUUCAUACAUUUUCGUCAUUGUUCUCUUAUCCAUCGAGUGAACACAAAAAUAAACGGCUGAAAAUGAAUAUUCUUUAAAAAAUGAUGAUAGGAGUCUUGUAAUCAAGAUCAAGAGUAUAGAUCUUGUUUUAAAUAGUUUACAAAAUUUUCUAACAAAAAUUCAAUUGAUUUGGAUAUCUUUACGCCGUUAAACGAGAAAAUGCCUUAUAUCGACUAUUAAAAUUACAAAUUUUGAAACCCUUUGAUCAUUAGGCAAAUGAUAUAAAAAAGAUUUGAAAUUUGAUUUCUAAACACUUCAAGUGGUAUAGAUCAUGUUCAACGGUGCCGAUCGUUGAUUUGAAGGUUCCAUCAUCGAAAACAAAUGGGUGGCAACGGAGCCUGUUUGCUAUCGAUAGUAUUCUAACUUCACUUUCUCUCUCUCUCUCUCUCUAUAUAUAUAGAGAGAGAGAGAGAGAGAGAGUUAAGGUAGAAUACUAUUAGUAGCAAACGAGCUCCGUUGCCACUUAUUUAUUUUUAAUGAUGGAGAUUCUAAAUCGAAUAUCGGUAUUAUUGAACAUGAUCUAUACCACUUGAAAUAUUUAGAAACAAAUUUUCAUAUUUUUUCAAUAUUGUUCUUUUGUCCAUCAAGUGGACACAAAAAUGAACGGCUGAAAAUAAAAAUUCUUUAAAAAGUGAUGAUAGAAAUUUUGUAAUCAAGAUCGAGUGUAUAGAUCUUAUCCUAAAUAGUUUAAAAAAUUUUCUAACCAAAAUUCAACUAAUUUAAAUAUCUUUACACCAUUAAGCAUGAAAACGCCCUAUAUCUACUAUUAAAAUUUCAAAUUUUGGAACUUUUUGAUCAUUAGGUCAAUAAUGUUGAAAAAAUUUAAAAUUUGAUUUUUACAUACUUCAAGUGGUAUAGAUCAUUCUCAACUGUGCCGAUCAUCGAUUUGGAGGCUCCAUCAUAAAAAAUAAAUGGUUGGCAACGGAGCCUGUUUGUUACCGAUAAUAUUCCAGCUCGACCUCUAUAUAUAUAGAUAGAGAGAGAGAGAGAGAGAGUUGGGCUAGAAUACUAUUGAUAGUAAAAAGUUCUUUUUGCCAUCAAGUUUUUAGCCUUUGAAUUAACUCAUUUCAUCAUUUCUAAUCAUUGGAUUAAAUAUUAUAACCCAGUAGGGACCACUCAACCCUAAUGGACUAAUAUCAUCCUAACCCUAUAAUUUCUCAUCCAAGGGUUAAAGCUUGAUAGUAAAAAGGGUCUUUUGCUAUGAAUAGUAUUCCAGCUCAACUCUCUCUCUCUCUCUCUCUCUCUCUCUAUAUAUAUAUAUAUAUAUACUAAAUAAAAUAUUUAUGCAUCGAAAAAUUAUUAUCAAUAACAAUUUAUUACUAUUAUUAUCUAUUAUUUAUUACUAUAUACUAAAGUGCAUUGGACAGUCUUCUUUUAUUGACAUGUGUCCGGCUCCACUAUUCGGUAGACCCGGUGCAUCGUAGACUAUUGAUUGUAGACGUAUAAAUGGUCUAUGGAAAAAUCUUGGGUGCAUCUGAUUUAUUCUUUUUCUACAUUAAAGGAGGGUUUGGGGAUGACACGUGUUCCCCAAAACCCUCCUCUCUACUCUUUCCCUACCUAUAUAUAGGUUUUAAAAUUUUAUAUUAUAAAAUUUUAUAUCACGCCCCGGAUUACUCGUUUUUUCAGGCACGCCGACAAAUUCGCUGUAUACAAAGAAAUUUUUUCUGUAUACGAAACGAUAGCUGUACUUGUACCUGUAAUCAUACAAAACUACAACUAGUAGUAUAGAGCUGUUGAUGAAACUGUAAACAUAGGAAAAUAAAAAUUGGGUUCACUAUACAUACAUAGUGACAAGAUACAACAUCACUCGCUCGAGCGAGUAUCUAACAUCAGUAUGUACAUGAACAAAAAACCAAAGUUACCUGUAGUUGGUACUCCUCUAAAACAGCAGCAUAAUUGGAAGGGAUCUAGCUCGUGACUCUCUUUCCAUGAUCAGGGUCAGUAACAGCAGCAGCCGCAGAAUAUGGCUUUGCAAAAAGGGGUCAACAACUGGGUGUGAGAACUACUGUAAAAAGAAGUAGUUCUCAGUGGGUACCGCUGCCGACCUUAACGGCUCACCCACUAAGUUUACAUAAAGUAUGCUCAAGAAUAGUAAAGAAAGUUGGAAAAACUCUACAGCUAUAUACCACUAUACUGUCACUAACCAACACUAACUAUUUGUAGAUUUAAUAAUGCAAUCUCUGACCCAAUCUCACUAGGGACCUGUCGAAACCCUAGAGAGAGAGAGAGAAAACAACAAAUAAAAUCUCCCUCUCUGUCUCUUCAUACAUAUAUACAUGGUGGGGAUAAGGGUGAAGUCCACGAUGCAUCAAUUGACCAAAAGGCCCCUCACCUACCGUAGACUACCUAUACCAGCUCGACGCCAUACCAGUACCCAGCAGCAACAAUCGCAACCCGAGAGCAGCAUUUGGAAAAUUCCUCUGGGGUAUCGGUACUUCCCUGCGUGGUACCGGUACUCAAUACUGACAACCUGUACUUUGCAGAUUUCAGUAUCAAAACCCUCCUCUUGCGUUUCACUGAAUCCGUUUUGCGUCUAUUUCACAUCAAAACAACUCGGACUUGUUUCGACACUCUCCAGAUGUGUCGGCAAGCCUUAGAUGCUGAAAUCUCACGGCUGCAGAACCCAAGGAUAAUACAUUUUAAAUUUUGACAUAGUGUCCGGCUCCACUACUCGGUAGACCCGGUGCAUCGUAGACCAUUGAUUGUAGACAUAUAAAUGGUCUAUGAAAAAAACUUGGGUACAUCCGGUUUAUUCUUUUUCUAUAUUAAAGGAUGGUUUGGGGAUGACACAUGUUUCCCAAAACCCUCCUCUCCUCUCUUUCCCUACCUUUUAUAUAGGUUUUAAAAUUUUAUACUAUAAAAUUUUAAAUUUUGGAUACUGAAAUUCUAAUUUAUUCUUUAAUUUUGGAUAUAAAAUUUUAAUUUUAAAUUUUGGAUAUUCCCGAGCCAAACGCUACCUUAGAGUACUCCAUUUUUUUUUGUCAUUUAUCUAUUUUAAAUCUAAAUUUUAGAACAAAUCACAUCUAAUUUCUUCACUUUGAUGCUUAAUUGUGCUAAAUUUAGAAAUUUUUUACAAAAUUAAAUAUAUGUUUAUACAUUCUAAAAAAAAUUAUGAAGUCACUCAGUUAAAAACCUACGAAUCAAGUAACUACUUUUUAUUUUAUUAUAAUAUUUUUAAUUCUCCAUAUUAUUUGUAUGGGUUGACAAAAAUGAUGUGAAUAAAAUUAGAAGAAUAAGAAUUUAAAAAAAAUACAAAAAAAGAACAUGUAUUUUUGAGCAAACUGGCCUAAGAGUAAGCAUAUUACAAAUUUUUUCCUUUUGCUUUAGAAAAUUUUGAAAAUUUACGGAACCCUGAGAAUUUAGAUAGAAACUAUCAAAUUCCUAGAGAUAAAAUCUGUAAUAAAAUUUUAUAUUUUGUAAUCAGAUGUUGAUACAAAUAUGUAUUUAAUAGAUAUAUUUAAUAAAAAUAUAUAGUAUAUUUUAUAAAUAGAAUUAAGAACAUACCUGUCGUACCCGCCGCAAUGCACAGGUACAUUGCUAGUUGUGUCUAAGCAAGCAUCUCUUUUGCACUAUUUUCUUUCUCCUUUAUUCAGAGUGAAUUUAAUUUUAGAAGGCAACUCAAUGCAUCUUCUUUAUGAAAAAUCUUGGAAAGAAUGCCAGUUUUUUUUUUUUUUUUUUUUCCUUGCUCUUCUAUGCCAUGUAAAACAACACUUUGCCUUUAAGUAGAGAUAUAAAAUGGGCCGGACAGCCCAGGCAUGACUAUGGGCCGGACUGAGGCAUGUCGCGAGUACUGCAGCCUGCUAUUUUGGGCCGUACUGAGCUGCUCCUGUUAGGUCUGUCGGCUUGGCACGGCCCUUUUCGAAGCGGGCAUGGGUAGUGCUAGGCUGUGGUGCCAGGCUAGGAGGCAGCCCGGCACCGCCCAUGCCCGAUGGGAGAAGAAGGAAGACGGAAAAAAAGAGAAAAGAAGAAAGAAGUGAAAGAACAAGUUGGAGGGCAGAAUACCACAGGAAAAAAAAACGAAUUUAUGGCAUCAUUUGCAUUUAAAAUGUUAAUUAUAUACAGUUUUAUGUAAACAUAUUGAAUAACAAAUAUAUCUCUAUAUUCAACUUUUUAUAUUUAUCUCUUCAAAGGUUCUAACGUUUUCAAAUAUGGCUCUACUAUUAAGAUCCGUUAGAAAAUUAUAGUUAACUAUAGGUAAAAUACUUAAUCCUUGUUAGUAAAUGAGAUAAAUUAACCAUUUUAUCUCUUUUAUAUUAUUUGUGAUGUCAGAAAAAAAGAUAAUCAUUUAAAAUUUUUAAGAGGAUAUUUCUUCAUAAUUCUAACAGUUGGGACUUUAGAAAAGAUAUAUUUAUGAUGACAAAAAUAUCAUUUCACUUAACUUCUGUUAAAAAAUAAAUUGUUGCGUACACCCAAUAUUAUUUGCACCGAAUCUACUUUUUAAUAAUUAAUAUUGCAAAAUCAAAAUCUACUUUUAUAUAUAUGUGUGUGUGUGCGCGCGCACGCAUGCGUGCGAUUUAUACCAUGUAAAAAAAAACAUAUGUAUGAAAAAUUAAAAAAUUGAAAACUCGCAUCUAUGAAUCGAUGUAAAAGUAUUAUAAAGCUAUAAAGUUUAGAUGAUGCCUAUGGGUCAAAUGUGUUAGGCACUGUCCUAAAAAUAAAAUUAUUCCUCCACAUGCGAAUCUUUGACAAUCACUUCUAGUGAUAUAAUGAUCACAAGCUACUCCGUGGGAACAUAUUCAAGAUAAUGCAUGUGAACCAAAACUUUUUUUUUUUUGAGAUCUAGCAAAUAGAGUAAAGUUUAAAGAAUUAGUAAAGCUCAAUAGAGUAAAGCACUUUUAUUGUAAUAAAAGUUUUUAUUUAAUAAGAGGCAUAAAUAUGAUUUGAUUGUCUAUGGUAGAAUGUCUAUUUUCUCAUUUGGAGUUAAAUCGUUAGAUUUGAUUUUUUUUUUUUUUUUUUUUUUUUUUCCAUCUAAGUAAUUGAGUGUGUGAGCAAAUGUCAUAACAGAAUAACCAAAAGUGGGGUAUUCAGAGCAUCUCUCUCUUUUAUUAGAAAUUGCCCAUCAAUUCAAUCCCAGGAUUUAUUAGCUUUCCUGACCAAACAACAUUACAAUAUUGAGUAGUCACUAGUGGAAGUGUUCCUUCGCUUUUAAAAUGGCAAGUGCAUCAUCUUGUACUCUCAGCAUUGGUCAGGCGAAGACUAAGCAGAAGAGACUUUCAAAUCAACCAAGCGUCUAUUUGUUUUAGUAUAAGUGAAGUGAUAGAACUCAAAUUUCAUCACAUUCGUUAUUUGUUUUGGUGUAAGUAAAAAAUAUAAUAUAACUUAAGUUACGUUAGACCUCCACUUCACCUAUCCUCGACUUUUUAUUCUAAAGUGCCGAACUUGACUUCCGCCACACUCAACCCCCUCUAAAAAAUUUAUUGAAUAGUAAAAUCUAAACUCUAUUUUCUUUAUAAUGGGUUAGAAUUAUCUUAUUUAUAAUAAAUUAGGAUUACUUUUAAAUGAUAAUAAAAAAUUUAAUUAUAUAAUAGGUUAAAUUUUAUAGCGGUAAAUUUAUUAUUAUAUUUAAGAGAUAACGAGAUCCACUUAUUUACAUCAAAACAAACAACGAAAUUCAAAAAACUAAUUUUACCAGUAUCAAGUUAUAUCGAAACAAACAGAAAAAGUAAUUAAAUUUAACUUUCAGACUGUACGAGUUACGUCAAGACAAAUAGCAAAAAAAUAAUCACAAUUCAGAAAAACUCAAACACUAUUGCAUUUGACUUAUGUUGGAUUUACAGAUUCGUCAAUCCAAACGGCCCCUAAAAGAAAAGAAAAAGUUCAUAUGCAUUUGUACUCACAACAUGCAUCACAUGCUCUCAAAUAAAUCCUACUAUGCACAAUACUCAAUAUACACGCAUGCUAAAAAAUAACACUUUAGAUAUAAAAGAAAAUCUAAUGAUUUUGAAAAGCACCACCCAUCUCGUAUGGUUGUAAGGGUAUUACGGUUCAGUUCUUAGAAUUUUUGGGCACCUAUUCUCUCGCCUGCGGUAAAACGAAGCCAAAUUAGAAUUUUUACCCAAAAUCAUUAUUUAGACUCGUCGGAUCGCCGAACCGAAUUCAUAUAAAGGUAGAAAUACCUCUAAUUUACAAGGUCAAUUUAUUUUUAAACCACUCUAGGGCAAAAGCCCCAAUUUUGGUGUCCUAAUAAUGCCAUUUGUUCAAUCUCUUGGUUUGAUCUCUAAAACAAGCAAAGUAAGCUUGUUCAACAUCUAGAAGUUCAUCUAGAAUCUUUUCUAAGCCAUUCAAAUCAUUUCUAGGGCAUACAAACCGAGCCCUAGAAAUCCACUAUGGGAGCAUACGAAGAAAACUUAAUUUUUAUGUGUUCCAUGGCCUGUAGAAGGUUCCUACACUUGUAAAAAGGUCAAAACCAAAAAUCUAGGGUAUAAAAUCCAAGCUCUAACCUUAGUCUUACAAGAAAAUCUCACUUUUACCCAAAACCCUCCAAGGUCCACCUUGUAGGAGAGCUUCCAAGCCUUCAAAACUCCAAAAAUCUCCCCCAAAUCCUUCUCCAACUACUCCUCUUAGCUCCUUGGAGAGAUCUCUAGAGAGAGAAAGAGAGAAAUGAGAGAGAGAGGGGUGCUUGCUAUUGUGAACAGGUGGGAGGGGUGUGUGGGGUCUUAUAUGGGUUACCAAAUUGCAAAAAGAUCCUCCGAAUAUUUAUAUUUGCAGCAAACUUAAUUCUGCUGCAAAGGACAUCUUGUACCGAUACAAGGUGGUUUGUCACCGGUUACACGAUUUCGCAGAACCAAACCCGAGAGCUGCUAUUUUAGGUAUUACACUUGGUACCGGUACAAGAAGGAUUUGUUACCAGUUCAACAGCCUUUUUUUCUCAAAUCCGAGAACUGUUUCUCUCGGUCUGAUGCCUGGUACUGGAACAAACUCAAUGCAUUAUCGGUGACAAAAACUCCAGACUGGAGUUUUGCACCGUUUUCGACUCCAAUUCGUGCUGAUCAAUGCUAAAACCUUUCUAACUCUUCUGGAAUUCACUUUUAACCCUUCCAACAUUGUUUGAAUAUUAAAUUGACUUUCUCCAACUAUUUCUUUCGGACACUUUAAUCGAUUUGGCUAAAGUCCGAAACACUCUACCGAAGUUUCGGUAUAUUACAUUCUCCACCCUUUAAAAUUAAUUUCGUCCGCGAAACUAAAACAUACCUUAACUCAUCGACUCGAAUAAGUGAGGAUAAACCUUCCUCACCGUCUCCUCAAGCUCCCAAGUGGCUUCACGCACCGCUUGAUUACUUCACUGGACCUUGACAUAGGGAAUUAUGCGAUUUCGCAACUUUUUUUCUUCUCUAUCGAGAAUACAUAUCGGAUAUUCUUCAUAAGUCAUAUCCUCGCUCAACUCCACCGGUUCAUAUUUCAACACAUGAGUCGAGUUUCGUAUAUACUUGCGGAGAUUUGAUACAUAAAAUACAUUAUGAACUCCCGCAAGCCUUGGUGGUAAUGCUAGCUUGUAUGCCACCGCGCUGACGCGUUCCAAUAUUUCGAACGGUCCAACAUACCGGGGAUUUAGUUUCCCACGGAUUCCAAACCGCUUAACUCCACACAUUGGCGAUACCUUAAAAAAUACGCAGUCUUCAACCGCGAACUCUAGAUCUUUCCUCCGCUUGUCGGUAUAGCUCUUUUGCCGAAAUUGCGCCGUAGUAAGCUGUUGCUGGGUGGGGCGAACUUUCUCCUCCACCUCCCGCACUACAUCGGGGUCAAGAGCAACUCUCUCGUCCACAUCGCUCCAAUGGAUAGAAGAGCGACAUUUCUUUUCAUAAAGUGCAUCGAAUGGCGCCAUCGCAAUACUUUCUUGAUAACUAUUAUUGUAUGCGAAUUCCGCCAUUGGUAGAUAAUCAUGCCAUCCACCCUUAUAAUCAAGCACACACGCCCGUAGCAUAUCCUCAAGAAUUUGUAUUGUUCUCUCCGAUUAACCAUCACUUUGAGGAUAAAAUGUCGUAUUAAAGUCGAGCCGUGUGCCCAAAGCGUCUUGUAGGCUCAUCCAAAAGUGAGAUGUGAAUCUCGGAUCUCGAUCAGAUACCAUAGACACCGGAACCCCAUAAAGUUUCACAACCUCGUCGAGAUAUACUUGAGCCAACUUGUCUCCCGACCACGUAGUAUGAAUCGGCAAAAAGUGCGCCGACUUCGUCAACCGGUCCACUAUCACCGAACUUGUAUCGUAUCCGCCUUGUGAUCGAGGAAAACCGGUCACAAAAUCUAUUGCGAUAUCCUCCCAUUUUCAAACGGGUAUAGAUAGACUUUGCGACUUUUUCGCCGGAAACGGAUGCUCCGCUUUCACUUGUUUGCACGUAAGACAUUGCGCUACGAAUUCUCCAAUAUCUUUCUUCAUGCCCGGCCACCAAUAGUGCACUUUUAAAUCUUGAUACAUUUUAGUGCCGCCCGGAUGAAUACUAUAGGGGGAUGGAUACGCUUCUUGCAUAAUCGCCUUACGAAUAUUCUCGUUUUUAGGCACACACCAUCGAUUUCGAAAUCGAAGUGCGCCAUUGGUCCCAAUGCUGAAAUUUUCAGUACUACCGCUUUUAACUUCAUCGCACACCUUUUGGAGAUAUUCAUCGGAAGCUUAUAACUCUUUUAUUCUCUCCAACAAGGUCGGUUACACAACCAACAUGGCAAGUGUAACUGGCAUUCCCGGAGCUACUGCUUCUAGACCAAGCCGUUGCAUCUCUUUUUGCAAUAACGGUUGGGGUGUAAUUGUCGAAGCCAAGUUUUUUUUUCGAUUUUCUACUAAGUGCAUCGGCCACGACAUUCGUUUUUUCAGGGUGGUAUAGAAUAGUAACAUUGUAAUCUUUUAGUAACUCUAACCACCGCCGUUGUCGCAUAUUUAACUCUUUUUGGGUGAACAAGUAUUUGAGACUCUUAUGAUCCGUGUAAAUCUCACGAUGCUCACCGUACAAGUAAUGCCUCUAUAACUUUAGCGCAAAUAUCACCGCGGCUAGCUCGAAAUCGUGAAUCGGGUAAUUCUUUUCAUAAUUCUUCAAUUGGCGAGAAGUAUAAGCUAUCACUCGACCAUUUUGCAUUAAUACACACCCGAGACCAACAUAUGAAGCAUCACUGUACACAAGAAAGCUCUCCCCCUGCGUCGGUAGAGCAAGCACCGGGGUCAAUGUCAAUCUUUUCUUUAACUCCUCGAAGCUCUGAUCGCAAUCGUCGCUCCACACAUACUUCACUCCUUUAUGCGUGAGGUACGUUAGCGGAGUGGUUAUUUUGGCGAACCCCUCCACGAACCGCCGGUAGUAGCCCGCUAGUCCAAGAAAACUGCGGACCUCCGCAACACUCGUCGAGCGAGGCCAAUCUUUAAUUGUCUCUACUUUCUUUGGAUUUACCGAGACUCCAUCGCCCGAUAUCACAUAGCCUAAGAAAGUGACAUCCGAAAGCCAAAAGUCAUAUUUAUUCAACUUGGCAUAUAGCUUCUCUUUCCAAAAUAUUUGCAACACGGUACUCAAGUGUUCCUCGUUUUCUUCCUCACUCCAUGAAUAAACCAACACGUUGUCAAUGAAUACUACGACGCACCGGUCUAACAACAGUCGAAAGACUCGAUUCAUCAAGUCCAUAAAUACUACCGGGACAUUAGUAAGCCCAAACGGUAUUACCGUAAACUCAUAAUGGUCAUACCGUGUAUGAUACGUCGUUUUGUGCACAUCUUUGGGCCGUAUCUUCAAUUGAUGAUACCCCGACUGAAGAUCUAUCUUUGAGUACAGCCGUGACCCUUGCAACUGAUCGAAUAAAUCAUCAAUCCUCGGCAACGAGUACUUAUUCUUAAUUGUCACUUUGUUCAAUUUGUGGUAAUCCACGCAAAGUCGAAAUGUGCCAUCUUUUUUCUUUACAAAUAGCACCGAAGCUCCCCACGGUGACACGUUCGGCCUCACAAAUUCUUUAUUGAGCAAGUUUUGCAACUGUGCUUUUAGCUCUUUUACCUCCCCCGGUUUCAUUCUAUACGGAGUCUUCAAAAUUGGCGCCGCCCCGGAAAUCAAAUCAAUAAUGAACUCGAUCUCUCAGUCCGGUGGCAAUCCCGAUAACUCUACCGAAAAUACAUCCGAAAACUCGUACGCCACCCGAAUAUCACCGAGUUUCGGGUGCUCCUUUUGAGCUUCCACCAUUGUCGCCAAGUAGGCUACAGAUCCACCCUAAAUUAUUUUCCUUGCCCUCGCCGCUGAUACAGUCGCCGCGAAGCGCGAGCUUUUACAUCCCCGAUGCACUAACUCCUCUUGGUUAGGCUGACGGAAUGUGAUCACCUUACUUUCACAAUCUAUAACGGCAUAGUAUUUAGAGAGCCAAUCAAUCCCCAAAAUUACGUCGAAGCCCCACAUUCGAUUCAAUACUAGCAAGUCCGCCGGCAUAAUCUAUUCGCCUAUCUGAACAAGACGAACCAAACACUCCUCAUGCACACUAAAUGAAUGCUCAGAUGCAUUAAGCUACCAAUAAUCCGGGUUAUAGCUGAUCUCUAUGCCAUGAGUCUUAGCAAAUGAUGCACCUAUAAAUGAAUGCGAUGCAUCUGUAUCGAACAAUGCUCUAGCUCUAAUGCCAUUAAUCAAGAUAAUACCUGCCAUGACAUCGUCAGGAACUGCAGGCUGCUCUUCCAUCUAAGUGGCAAAAAUUCGCCCACUCGGUGCUCUAGAUCUCUCCGGCUGACGCGGUACUGAUGAGCGUCCAGCCGACAUAGCCGAGGGCAACCCCGCAAGCUGUCUCGGGGUGGAAGGAACUGAUGCCGCCGUCGGUGCAGACGACCCCCAACUCGGGUACUCCCAGGCCAUAUGCUCGGCUUGGCCACACUUGUAGCACUUUCCCUCGCAUUGCAGGCAAGCCGACGGUCGAUGCUCACCGCUGCAAAUAACGCAUCGGAAAGGCUUCCAAUUCUUCGAUUGCUGUCGAGGAUACCGAGGGGGUUUCUUUGCAUUUGGCCGGCCCCCGGCACCGCCCGCCGCCCGCUUCUUCCCUUUGUUUCUCGAUUCGGCCAUAGACUCGUGCUCCUCUGGCGCGUAGGCGUUGCCAUGCUCCGCACACAAAGCUCGAUCAAAGACUUCCGCAAAGGUAGUAAGCUUGAGGAUUUGCACGGCCUCAUAGAUCCUCGGUCGGAGUCCUCGUAAGAACCAAUCAGCCUGGUCUAGAUCAUCUCAAACAACAUCCGAAAAACAAUUGAUGAUGUGGGAGGACUACUGCUCGUAAUCCGCCAUCGAGCGAUCUCCUUACCUCAACUUGCGAAACUUUUCUUGCAUCUUCCGCUUCACCGUGUCAGGAAAAUAGUUAGCGAACAUCGCCCUCUUAAACUCCUCCCAUAAUAUAGGCAGAAGGUCAAAAGACCGAUCUCGCUUCAUCCGCUUCCACCACACCUUCGCUGCCUUCUCAAGACAAUGAGUGGCGAGGAGCACUUUGUCUUUCUCCAAGGGAUAAAUAUCCUCGAAGAGCGUCUCCAUGGCAUCGAUCCACGACUCCACCAUCGCCGGCUCCACCUUUUCCCCAUUAAACAUAGGUGGGUUGAAUUUCUUGAACAUAACGAGAGCCGCCAACGCACGCUCUCGCUCCGCCUCUGCCGCCGCACUUUCGGAAUUUAAAGUUCCCGAUCCGGCCGGCACCGCCGUAACGGGCACAGCCGCCGCGGCCACGCCCUCCUCCACGAUCGGCAUCGCUACAGGGGGCGCAGAAUGCUUGGCCCCUACUUGAGCCGCCGCCGCCUGCUGCCGCUCUAAAGCCUCUCGAAGACUUUGAAUCUGCUUCCUCUGAUGCUAAACCGCCUCAGCAUGUUGACGCAUCAACUCUGCUUGUUGCCGCACAAUGCCGACAAGAGCGGACAUCUGCUCCCGAAGCUCCCCGUCGCCACUAGCUUCGGAUUCCAUAGGAGCCGCACUCGAUUCCUCGGGCGUAGACCUCGUUCGGGGUCGACCACAAGGCAUUGCUUCCUGAAAUGAAGCAACUCAUAUUAGUUACAUAACCACUAUACUCGGACAUACCCAAUCUGGCGAAAACAAACAAGUGUAUUUAUUUCCAUUCCAAAGCAGUAUGUCGUCGGCCGUCGAUCACAAGACAAGGAAUAGAAAACAAUAUCUACUUAAAGUUUAGCCCCUAACCACAUUAGAGACAUAUUAAUAUCAACCCAAUCAUAAAGCUUUCGCUAUAAUUUAGUUCCACGUCACUCACAUUUUCUAGAUCCUUAAGAUUUUUCAUUCCUAAUGGUCUCUAGGUCCAUUCUAUACUUUCACUUUUGGGCUCUGAUACCAUUAUAUUUGUCAUGCUCCGAGACCGGCCAUAUUUGGUCCGUUCGGGCUCGUCGAACAGACGCCGAAUGGACAGUACCUCCCUUGUCCGCCCAAGGCUCAACAACAAGUACAAUUUCAAGUAGAAAAAUUUGAACAUGCGGAAGCAUACAUAAUUGGCUUGCACGAGGGCAAGCAAUAGCCAAAGUGAAAGUACUAAACUAAACCAUUCAUACAAGUAAUAUGAUUAGCUUUUAACUACAUACAUAGAUACAACUUGGCUAAUCUUUUACAUUCUUUGCUUUAACAUUAUUUCUUCUCUUUUACAUUACAUGAUAUCUCAAAAUAUAACUUGCUUUUACAUUUAAACAUUUAUAGUCAUCAGAAUACAAAAGAUGACAUAAAAGGGUAUGCAACUAAACCAAAAUGUGACCAACUCGGGUAGUCCCUAUCUAUGGCGUGAUACCUUUACCGCGAUCACUGGCCAGCUCACUCAGUACCGGCUCUGUGGAGAAAAAGGGGGUGAGAACUACAAUAAAAUUUUCAGUGGGUUCGGCCGCUGACCUCGCCGACUUUCCUACUAGGUCUAAAUCAGAUAUAAUAGAAGAAUGGGUAGAUAGUAACCAACUAAACAAAUACAGCUAAUAUGCCUGAGCAAUAUAUAAUCCAUGAUUAUGUUCAAAUAGAAUUCUUAUGAUGAAUGCAAGAUUACUUUUCAAUUCUUAACUUUCUUGGCUAGCCCGUAGGUUUCGCCCUCAAUUAAUUUUACCAAUUCAAGUCCCUACUAUCGGGCCCUCAGCUUCUUCCCGACGGGCCAAAUCUCUAAUAUCGGGCCCUCAGUUUCCUCCUGAUGGGAUCGUCUUCUUGGGCUUACCAUUUCCAGUGAUGACAACUCCAGAGCUCAUCACUCGAGAGGGAGCGACCUCACUCAAGCCAAGACUUAUAGGCGAGUAUGAUCAAUCCUUAACUUUAAGGAUUCCAAGUUCAAUCCAAUUCUUACUAUAAGAAUGCAAUACUCCUAUGACCCUUAACUUUAAGGUUGCUAUGUCAUAAUAUCACUAUCUCAUUUACUUGCAUUAUCACUUUUUUUUAGUGUCACUUGCACUAUUGUUCUUUGUACUCAUUCACAUGCAUUCUCAAUUCACUAAUGCCACACACUAAGUGUUCAACUCUAGCAUUCACAUUAUGCCACACACUAAGUGUUCAACUCUAGCAUUCAUAACUCAUUGAUGCCACACACUAAGUGUUCAACUCUAGCAUUCAUAACUCAUUGAUGCCACACACUAAGUGUUCUUUUCUAGCAUUCAUUGUUUACUAAUACCACACAAUCCAUAUGUCAUAAUGUUAUUUUGUUCUUUGCCUCAUCUAGAUUCAUUACUCUUUCCUAGGUUCUUGUCAUUACUCAUACAUACAUAGGAUUUUACAAGUUCUUAUUCUUUUACUAUCAUUUCAUAUGCAUUUGUACUUACAACAUGCAUCACAUGCUCUCAAAUAAAUCUUAUUAUGCACAAUGCUCAAUAUACACGUAUGCUCAAAAAUGACACUUUAGAUAUAAAAGAAAAUUCAAUAAUUUCGAAAAGCACCACCCAACUCGUAUGGUUGCAAGGGUGCUACAGUUCAAUUUUUAAAAUUUUAGAGUACUUAUUCUCUUACCUGCGGCAAAACGAAGCCAAAUUAGACUUUUUAUCCAAAAUCAUUACUUAUACUGGUCGGAUCACCGAACCGAGUUUAUAUAAUAGUUAGAAAUAUCCCUAAUUUAGUUUCUAUAAGGUCAAUCUGUCUUUAAACCACUGUAGGGCAAAAGCUCCAAUUUCGAUGCCAUAACAAUGCCAUUUGUCCAAUCUCUUGAUUUGAUAUUUAAAACAAGCAAAAGCAAGCUUGUUCAAUAUCUAGAAGUUCAUCUAGAACCUUUUAUAAGCCAUUCAAAUCAUUUCUAGGGCAUACAAAUCGAGCCCUAGAAAUCCACCAUAGAAGUACAUGAAGAAAACUUGAUUUUCAUGUAUUCCAUGGCCUCUAGAAGAUUCCUACACUUGUAAGAAGAUCAAAACCAAAAAUUUAGGGCAUAAAAUUUAAGCUCUAAUCUUAAUCUUACAAGAAAAUCUUACCUUUGCCCAAAGCCCUCCAAGGUCCACCUUGUAAGAGAGCUCCCAAGCCUUCAAAACCCCAAAAAUCUCCUCCAAAUCCUUUUCUAACUCCUUGUCUUAGCUCCUUAAGUGGGCCCAUUACUCUAUAUUCCUGGUUUGCCAAAGAGGCCCUGAGUUUAAAUUUUUUUACCUGCAUUCAAGUUUUUUCAAAUUAGUGAUACAAAAUUAAUGUCUAAACUAGAGAAAUUUACAAGUUUUUUAAACAUAUUAAAUAUGUUAAAUUUAAAUAUCUACCAACAUUAAAAAUUUAAAUAGUAAUACAAAUUUCUUCUAAUUUAAAUUUAAAUUUUUAAAAUUUAAAUAUUUAAUAUUUAAUAUUUAAAUCAACAUAUUUAGAAAUAGUAGUAUUUCUAAAAUUCCUAAAAUUCAAAUUGAUGCGUAAAUUAGGGGAACACUAAAAUUCCUAAAAUUAAAUGCAUAAAUUAGUGCAAAAUUAAUGCCUAAAUUUGGGAUAUAAGUCAAUUCCUUAAUCAAUGCUUAAAUUAGUGCAAAAUUAAUGCUUAAAUUUGAAUUUUAGGAAUUUUAGAAAUACUACUAUUUCUAAAUAUGUUGAUUUAAAUAUUAAAUAUUAAAUAUUUAAAUUUUAAAAAUUUAAAUUNAAAUUAGUGCAAAAUUAAUGCUUAAAUUUGAGAUAUCAAUCAAACUUUCUAACAUUGCACAGUUUAAUUACAAAAAUACCCUCGUCGUAACCAGCUACAUAUUAAAAUAACAUCUUUACUCUUUAUUAAUCAACGGAUAGAAUUUUUUAAAUUUUUUUUAUUUUUUAUAAAAUAAAGUACCGAAUCAUUUCUCAACCAGUUUUAACUCAGCCCAACACUCUAAGAACAUACUAACUAAUAAUCCAAACUGUAACUUCGCCAAUUUGUCUAUGUCCGGUAUAUUACACUAUAAUAUUAUCUUAAUUGGUGUAAGGAUUGACUUUUUUUAUGAUAAACAAUGAGUUUAGUUGAUCGAAGGGUUACUUAUUUAAUAUGUACUAAUUGCCCCUGAACUCUUUUUUUGUUAUCCAUGGUCCAUCUGAUUUGUAUUUCUCAGACUCAAAAAUUAGUUAAUUCCAUAGCCAUAUUAAGCAAGCAUUUAAAGUUGUUUUUUCAUAAAUUUUUAGCAUUCAUUUAUUUGUAUACAACAUCAUCACUAAUUUUCAAAGCUUUUACUUCUAAGCUAUUUUAAAGUUGUUUUGUUUGUGCACUAACAUUUGGUUCUUCUUUCGGCAGAUUAGAUGUGCGAGGAUAUCAAUGUACUGAAUUUCUAAGCACUAAAAUCUUAAGAAUUUUCACUACCGAGAAACAAUAAUAGCCGAGGUUGCAGUGUUUUUAGCCAUUGAAAAGCUUGGUGAUGCAUUAGGAACAGAACUGUUGAACCAAGCUAGCUCUCUAUUUUCAAAGCUACUAGCAUCAUUGGCAGAGCUCCCUGAUAGUAUGGGACGCAUAAGGCGUGAACUCCACAUAAUGCAAGGAUUCUUACAUCACAUUGAUAUGGUAGAUAAAAAAAAUCAACUCCUUGAAUCUUGGAUAGAGGAAGUGCGAAAAGUUGCAUAUAUUAUUGAGGAUAUUGUGGAUGAGUAUAUCUAUCUUAUAGUUCAAGAUCAGCGCCGACAAGGUGGACUAGUUGGUUACAUGAAACAAGUGUUGAAGCAACCAAAAUCGUUUGGUAGCUUCUGUCUUAUUGCCUCUCAACUAGAACGAGUAGAGAAAGACCUUGACCACUUCUCACACUUAAAAGAUCGAUGGAUUCAAACAACGAGUAUUGGCCAUAGUAGUAGUUCAGAUAAGGUGAGCGAAUGGACACAACAUCUUAUGGGAAGCACUUCUCUUUUCAUGGGCGAGGAACAACUCGUAGGGAUUGACGAAGACCAACAUAUGUUAACUAAUUGGUUGAGGUCUGAGAAAUUAGAUCUCUGCAUAAUAAUAGUUUGGGGUAUGGGCAGGCUUGGAAAGACUACUUUAGUCAACAAUAUUUAUAAAAGUGAAAGUAGAACUUUGACUGCCGUGCCUGGAUUUCUGUAUCUCAAACUUUUAAAGUAGAAGAUCUUCUCCGAAAAAUGAUUACUGAACUUUUUGGCAACCAAAAAAUAGUUCCAACUGAUAUUGCCACCAUGGAUGGUAAAAAGUUGGAAGAGACACUAGCGGAAUUCUUAAGACAAAAGAAGUAUCUAAUUGUACUAGAUGAUGUAUGGGUUCCAGAAGCAUUUUAUGUAUUGCGUGAUUCUCUUGUCGCUAAUCAGAAAGGAAGUAGAAUAUUUAUUACAACAAGAAUUGCAGAAGUAGCAUCACUUGCGAACGAAAACUAUAAGCUUGAACUCAAACCUUUAUCUGGUCUUGAUGCAUGGAAACUUUUCUGCAAGAGAGCAUUUAUGAAUUAUCCAAACCAAGAAUGUCCCCCAGAGUUAGAAAAAAUUGCAAGAGAUAUUGUGGCCAAGUGCGAAGGGUUGCCACUAGCUGUUGUAUCACUAGGCAGCCUCCUGUCCUUAAGAGAGAAGAGUGAGACUGAAUGGAAGCGAGUUUAUAAUCAGCUUAACUGGGAGCUUACAAACCACCCAAGUCUUGAUCCCGUGAGAAACACUUUGAAUUUAAGCUUCAACUAUCUUCCUAAAUAUCUGAGGAAUUGCUUCUUAUCUUGCAGCAUGUUUCCAGAGGAUUGCCUUCUUAGAAGAAAAGGGCUUAUUAGAAUAUGGAUAGCAGAGGGUUUUGCGGCAGAAAGAGGAUCAAGCACGGCUGAGGAAGUUGCAGAAGGAUAUCUCAUGGAGCUUAUCCGUCGGAGCAUGCUGCAAUUGGUAGAGAGAAACCACUUCGGUAGGGUAAAGUUUUGUCGGAUGCAUGAUCUCGUGUGCGAGCUGGCUGUCUCUUUAUCUAAAAAUGAGAAGUUCCACAUUAUUUAUGAGGAUAAUGGGAUGGAAAGAAUGGUGGAUGCUAAUGCUCGUCGCCUGUCUGUUCUCAAACACAGCAAUGAUAUUGGAUUCAACAUUGAUCUACCGCGGCUACGAACCUUUGUAGCAUUUGGCACUACUAUGCCGCCGUCCUCAUUUUUAUCUGCUUUUCCAUCCAAAUCAAGGUAUAUUGCAAUUCUUGAACUGCAAGGCUUGCCUAUUGAGGAGAUACCUGAUGCUAUUGGAGACUUAUUCAAUUUGCGAUACUUGGGUUUAAGAGAAACGAAGGUAAAACUACUACCAAAAUCCAUUGGCAAGCUUUCCAACUUGUUGAUCUUGGACCUCUAUCAGUCAGCUAUACAAGAGCUGCCUCGUGGGAUCACAAAUCUCAAGAAAUUGCGCCACAUGUUUGUUGAAAGGGUAAAUGACCCAACCGGGAAAACCUUUCGCUUGUGUAGUGGUAUACAUGCACCAAAAGGUUUGUGGAAUUUAAAAGAAUUACAAACAUUGCAAGCGGUUGAAGCGAGUAGUGAGUUGGUUGGGCAACUGGGAAAUUUGACCAACCUGAGAAGUUUUAGAAUAUGGAACGUAAAGGAAACCUACUCUGCACAACUCUGCGCAGCAUUAUCACAAAUGCAUCAUCUUUUUAACUUAGGCAUUAAUGCAAGUGAUGAAAAUGAGUUUCUCAAUUUGGAAGGCUUGAACCCCCCACCCCCGAAUCUUAAAAAGCUUAGUCUAACAGGUAGAUUGGCACCAGGAACGAUGGUGUCUCCUUUGUUUCGAGCCCACGGGAAAAAUCUCCAAGAAUUAGGACUAUCUUGGUGCCAGCUAACUGUGGAUCCUCUUCCGUCGCUCGCUUGGUUGUCAAACCUCACUGCCUUAUGUCUUCACAGAGCAUACGAUGGAGAACAGUUGUGCUUUCGUGCUAAAUGGUUCCCUAACUUGCACGAGCUUCGAUUGAUUGACCUGUUGCAACUCCGACAAGUGAAGAUAGAGAUGACGGCCUUGUCAAACUUAGAAACUCUAUAUCUGGAAAGCCUAAGUAGCCUAGUAGAGGUCCCAAAAGGCAUUGGAUUCCUCAAAUCAUUGCAAAAGCUAUUUUUGUAUGAUAUGGAUCGUCAGUUGACGAGUCGUUUAAAAGCCAAUGCCAAGCUUCUACACAUCUAUUUACACUUAUUUGAAGUGCCUUCCUUUCAUCUGGAUUCGCUCACAAGUAAGUUUCUACAUGUCACACCCACGCAUUUCUUUUGCAAAUUUCCAAAUUUUACUACGUUUAAUUUCAUGCUUAACCCAAAACUGCUUACGGCACAUAAAACUAUGUUAGUAUCUUAUGUCUAAUUUAUUGAUUUUCUCUCCUUUGGUUUGAUUUUUGUUCAUUUUCAUCUCAUUUGGAGCCACCAGUAUUCGAUCAAAACAUAUUUUUAUGAACUUAAAUUCCAUAAUAAAGUUCCUAGUUAGGCAAUUGCUUAAACAUUAAUUGUUUCUUUCAGUACACUACUUUUGAUCUCAUAUUUAUUUAGUCAACAUAGAAAUUGCUACUAUAUUGAAAAUAAACCAAUGAUAUUCACUAAGUCCUAAAAAGAGCUUUUGCCAAUUUAAUUUGUAUAUUUUUUAGACUCUAUGCUUUCUACUAGCAAUGCUCAUGCAAAUUGACAGUUCAUUACAUAUUCAACUUGUUUUCUUACUAUAUAAUUUAAGUAAUAAAUUUACUAGUGCAACUGUACAGAUGUACUAUGCAUUUUUUAUUAUUAUUUUUUUCCAUCACAUAUUUCGUUACCAUGCAUUUAUGCUACUUUUAUUUUUUUUCUAUACUAUGAUUGUGUGCAUGCAACAUGCGCUUUGCACAAAAAUAAAGAAAAAAAAUUUAAGGAGAUGCUUUUAUAAAUUUUGAAAAUUUAUAAAUUUUAUCUGAUUGUAAUCAUCUAAUCUGAUAGAAAAAAUAGGAAGAAUUAUAUUAGAUUUAGUCAAAUUAGGUUUUUUUUUCAAAUUUCAUUAAUUUAAAAGUUAAAUAUCAUGUCGGUUAAUACAUGAAAAACUUACUGUAGAAUAAAAUCAAAUAAAAACUGUUACGUACGUGUUUCAAAUAUAAAUGUAUUUUUAUAAUAGAGGAGUAUUUUUUUUAAAAAAAGAGUAUAUCCUACCCUUUAUCCAUUCACUGGGUGAGGUGUUUUCACCGGUCACUUAAUGUGAUUGGUAGUUAACACCCCAUCCUUUGGAUGGAUGGGGUGUAACUUGUACACCUCCUAUGGAAUGUACAAGUGGCAUUUUUCAAAAGGAAUUUGACUGGCCCAAUAUUUUUACUCGCUCUUGUAUUUACACUAGUUAAAGUGCACAUGCAUGUAAUGCACACUUUGCACAAAAAAGAAAGUAAAAAAAUAAAAAAAUAAACUUGAGAAAUAAUUUUAAAGACUGUGUUUGGGGGGAAAUUUGACAUAUUCAAAAUUUUUAUUCGCUGUUUUAUAUAUAGUACAAUUUUAAAAUCCGAUCAAAUUUCAGAAUCAAUAACUUGUAAACUUUAAGGUAUAAAAACAUCAUAAAUGUUAUUUUUCUUCACUGGCCAUCAUUUCCUUCCAUGGUCAAUUUAUAUGCACACACCUCACCUUUUUUUUUUUUGGAAAUAUAUAAAUAGUCUAUUUUAUAGUUGGAAUUAACUAUCCCCUUAGUUUUUUUCUUGUUCACUAGUUUAUUCUGUGCAUGUGAAACUUGGUGCUAAUUUUUCAAUUUGUACUUCUCAAUUUAUUUCUUUUUCAAUUUUUUGAAAAUUCAGGUCAUCCUCUCCUUGGUUUUAAGCCACCGAGUACUUCUCAGUGUUUGUCGGUCAUGCCAUUAUUUGCUUAAUAUAGCAUUAUUAUUUGUUUGUCCACUAAAUUAUUCCUGCAAACUCAAACAAAGUUGUUGUAUGUAUUUUCUGUAUUAGUUUAGUUCUUUCAAUCACAUGCUAUAUGUGUUGUUUUACAAUAUAAUAUACCGACCGUCCUUAGAGCAAAUGGCAAAGGGCUUGGUGGUUAGUACCCGAGGUCCUAACUUCGAAUUCUAGUUGAUUCACAUUUUCUAGCUAAGUUUAUUCUAAAUGAAAUAAACGAAACAGAUAACAUGCUAUCUAUCUCUCAAAAAAAAAUAUAUAUACGGCGCAUGAUAUAUGAUAAUAUCUUGUGGAAUUAUUCUGUAAGAAAACAUUAUUGAUAAUAAUGUGUCAUUUUGUUGAAACAUUUGCAUCUACACUAACUUGAUUUUCCGUAUUCUCGAUGGAUUUACAUCCGUUGUAUACAAUAGCAGGAACUCUUACAAUAGAAAUACAAGUAACUUCUAUCCAAUAGAGGACAUUGAUUGAGAAACUCGGUAAAAGUGGCAGGUUUGAACGGAUAGUUUCGAUCUAUUGUGGGCGUGCUGACUCGAUCUAUCAAGUAAUGGAUUGUUUAGCACAUUUUGAUCUUACAAAUAGUUGCGAGAGUCUAUGUUAGCCAAUCACUUCAAUGCCCUAUACAAUUGCCAUUCAUGCAACUGGCUCACAGUUACAGAAGCCCUAAAAAAAUGUCUGGAUUUUGUUUUCCUAAAAAUAUUUGAAAAAGAAAAAUAUUAAUUUGCGAUGAAAUUUUGAAAAUAAAUUUUUAAAAACUAUUUUUUUUUAACCAAAUGAAUGGAAAACUGAAAAAAAAAAAUUCCAUAACAUUUUCUUGGCAAAAAAAAAAAGAAAGUUUUUUUCACGCUUUUUCGACAAACAAAGCACCCCUUAGCAUCGCAUAAAGUCGACGUUUCUUCGGCAUUUCCUUUCCCGCAAACGCUUUAUUAUUAGUUAGCACCUCCACUAUCUAUCUCGAUAUUUUCAAUAGAAUUGUAUUAAAACCAUAUCCGUUUAAGGGUUGUUUGGUUCCUCAAAAAAACGCGAAAAAAGAACUUUAAUUUGAGAAAAAAGUUUUUUAAUUUUCCGUCUAUUUAGUUUCACCGAAAACUAGAUUUUUUUUUUUUUUUUUGAAAAGAACCAUAUCCGUUUAAGGGUUCUUUGGUUCCUCAAAAAAGCAUGCAAAAAAAAGUUUGAGAAAUUUUUUUUUUUAAUUUUCCAUCUGUUUAGUUUCAUGGAAAACUAGAUUUUUUUUUUUGAAAAGUUUAUUUUCAAAAUUUAUGAAAAACUAGUAUAUUCAUUUCCUAAAAAAUUAAAAAAAUUAAUAAUUUGUGAUGAAAUUUGGAAAAUAAAUUUUCCAAAAAAAACUAAUCUUUUAAAACUAAAUGGACAAAAAACUGAAAAAAGAAAUUUCAUAAAUUUUUUCUAGGAAAAUUUUUUCUCGCUUUUCCAACCAAUCAAGCACCCCUUAGCAUUGGAUAAAGUUGAUAUUUCUUCACAUUUUCUUUUCAGCAAAUGCUUUAUUAUUAGUUAGCACCUCUACUAUCUAUCUCGACUUUCGCAAUAGAAUCUAUUACUAUAUAUAAAAGUAGAACCCUUAAUGAACCCUAUGUGAGAAGCUGGCACGUGGCUUUCUAUAUGUUUGCCACGUGUCAAACUCAAAUAUGUAUAUUUGGUUACGAAUUAUUUGAAAUUAUUGAAAAUCAAUAUCUUUUGCUAUAUUAUUAAAAAUCACCUAUAAUGAAGGAGAAAUUAUUUCAAAGUCACCUAUAAUUAUGUUGAGAUAUUUAAAAAAUUCACGGAUAUUAUGUGGCAAAAAAAUUGACCGGUGCAGAUAUUAUGCGUGAGAAGAAAAAUAUUUAUCUUUAUUUGGGAAUAAAUUACUACUUAGUUAAUUAUUUGAAAUGAUUGAUCGAAAAUUUCUGGACAUAAAAAUAUUAGUAAAAAAGGAUAGAGACAUUUUUGGAAAGAGAAAAAAUUCAAAACUAGUGUUUUUAUAAAAAAAUAAUAUCUUUUACUAUAUUAUUAAAAAUCACAUAUAAUGAAGAAAAUUUUAUUUCAAAGUCACCUAUAAUUAUGUUGAGAUAUUAAAGAAAUUUAUGGAUAUUAUGUUGCAAAAGAAUUGGCGGUGCGGAUAUUACGCGUAAGAAGAAAAAUAUUUAUCUUUAUUUAGGAAUAAAUUAUUACUUAGUUAAUUAUUUAAAAUGAUUGGUUGAAAAUUUCUGGACAUAAAAAUAUUAGUAAAAAAGGAUAGAGGCAUUUUUGGAAAGAGGAAAAAAUUUAAAACUCACAUCACUCCUGUAAUUUUCUUCGCUCUUAAAUAUUGAUGCUUUAAAAUAGAACAUAUUAUUUCCCUACUGUCACUUCUGUAAUUUUCAUUUCGUAAUUUUUUUCCCUUCUGUCACUCAUGUAACUUUUUAUCUUCAUUCAACAAAAUUUUUUUUCUUUAUAUUUUCUUGAAAACCAACAUCUAUAUAUUUUUGAAUCUUAAAAGCGACAAUAGGAACAUAAUAUAUGUAUGCUUACUCUAAUUUGUGUCAAAUAUAAAAGUUUAGUUGAUCUCAUUAUAUGCUUAAAUAUUAAUGCCAUUUAUAAUUUUUCAUAUCAAUUUUAGUUAUCAUUUUAUUUCGCACAUCAAUAUGUAAAUGUAAAUUGUUUUGUAUACCAAUUCAUAAAUAAUAGAGCAGAAUUGAAUUUUGCAUUUUAGUUGAAUAUUUACUUUGGUCCAUUUUUUUUUUCUCUAGCUUGUGUACUUUAAUAUGUACUAUAAUUAAGAUUGAUAGUAUAUUUUUUUAUUUAUUAAAAAAUAUAAAAUUAAUUAGAAAAUCUCUUUGUUAUUAUCACAUAAUAAUUUUUAUUAUUCUAUAUUAUUAUAUUAGCCGUGCAUCGCACGGGUGAAAAUCUAGUUAUAUUCAAAAUCAUAUCCGUUUAAUGGUUGUUUGGUCCUCGAAAAAAUGUGAAAAAUUUUUUUGAAAAAAAAAUAUUUUUUUUUUUUUCAAUUUCCAUCUGUUUGAUUUCGAAAAACAACCAGAUUUUUUGAAAAAAAAAAAUCCAAAUUUUAUGGAAAAACCAGCAUUUUUAUUUUUCUAAAGAAUGCAAAAAAUAAAAAUAUUUAAUUUGCAAUGAAAUUUUAAAAAUAAAAUUUAAAAAUUAAUUUUUUAAAACUAUACGAACGAAAAAUUGAAAAUAAAAAAAAAAAGCACAAAAGAAAUUUUCUCAAAAUUUUUUUUUUUUUUUGAUUAAACAGGGGAAUACCCUAUUUGAAACUUGGAACAAAGUAACAGAAGUUGUAAAGAAAUGCAAAAGAGCAAAAUAACAGGCCACAUAGAGAUAACAAAACAAUCAGGAGAACAACAUUAUGGUGUGGCUGCUGCAUAACUGCAAAAGUGUGGACUGCCACAGCACAAGCAGAACAACAUUUUGCUGCAUAACUGCAAAAAUUUUUUUUCAAAUUUUUUUUUUUUUUCAUGCUUUUCGGACCAACCAAGCAGCCCUUACCAUCAAGACGAAUUCGGCGCUUCUUCCGAAUGCAGUACCCUUUCAACAAACGCCGUAGCAUUAAUUAGCACCAACCACUCUCGCUCUUCGUUUUCAAUAGAAUUGUACAAUUCCUUCCAGAUUCCAGAUCAGCAAACGCUUUAGCAUUAAUUGGCACCUACCGCUCUCUAUCUCUUUGUUUUGCAAUAGAAUUCUAUUCCUUCCACGUUUCUUUAUCAUUAGUUGGAUCCUCCUCUAUCUAUCUCCCUAUUGCUAGUUUCUCCAUCAUUUCUCUCUUCUCUUAUCUUUCUUUAAGGCUGCCAGGCAAUGCAUGGUGGAUAUCUACAUGAUCACUAGUUAGCUUGAGAAGACACUGGAGGAAGAAGAAAGAGAAGACGGCAGCUGCUGCCGUUUGCUGCCACCGCGACGCGACGGCUGUUGCCAUUGGAGGAAGAAGAAGGAAACCAUGGCUAUCGCUACGGGUCUGGUUGGUUUCGAUAAAACUUAAUAGCAGAUUACUGCACAUAUAAGAUUAUCAUAUUUGGUCAGUAGAUUUCAAUAAUGCUAAUAAUAAAAUUUAUACUAUUUUAAAAAUAUUCUUACACUAUAUUCAUUUAAAUAUCAAACUUUAAUUGUAAAUUCAAGGUCUAGAUUUGAAUUUGAAUUUUAGAUUCAAGUUCUGAUUUUCAAUCCAAAGUUCGAUUUCAAUUUUUAAUUCGAAAUCGGAUUUUGUUUUCAAGAUUCUAAUUUUGGAUUCGAAAAGGAAAUUUAAAUAAAGUUUCUAAAAUCAAAUUUCAACUUUCAAAUUUAAAUUUAAAUAAUUUAAAUUUAUUAAAAUUUUAAAUGCAAAUUUAGAUUUUGAAUUUAUAUUUCAGUUCGACUUCAUACUUUUAAUCCAAAUUUAGAAUUGGAGUUCAUAUUUUAUACACAAAUUCAAAUUUAGAAUUUAAAUUUAAAUUAUUUAAGUUUUAAAAUCAAAUUUAAAAUUCAAAUUUAGAUUGGAAUUCAAAUUUUAACUUCAAAUUGAAAAUUUAAAUUUGGAAUUAAAAAACUUAAAUAUUUCAAUUAAAUGAGAAAUUAAUAUUUAAAUUAAAAUUUUAGUCAAUUGGUGGUUGGGUAGGGGCCACUUUGAAAAUUUUCAUAAAUUACAGAAUUAACAACAAUCAGUAACAUAGGACAUCUAUCCCCUCAUCGGUAAUAUUUUGUAAGUAAUCUUACGCUGUCAGUAAGUCUAUAAUUGACAAAAUUACAUACCAGGUGAAUCAAACACAAUAAUUUGAAAAGAUUCAUACAUAAUUUUCGAUAAUCCUGGUAGGAUAGUACAAACCAAACAGGGUCAUUAUAGGCCAAGCUCUGACUGAGUCAAGUUCGGAAUGAUAGGCCAAGCUCUGGGAAUAAUUGGCUAAAUUAGGACAAGUGAGACAACUCUUAAAUCUUCUAGUGAUCUUGGGCUCUGUAUGUAAUUGGGUUGACGACAACGUCAAGGUUUAAGCGGGGGGAGUCAGUCUGUGACAUCCCAACAAUUUUACAUCGGAUAGGAAGAGAGUUAUGAUUGAGUAUAUAAAAGACUAUGAAACCUAUAAAUAAAAAUUGGGAUUAAGCAUUUUAGGUCGGUGGUUUGAGCCUAACGAGUUAUUAUUGCUAAUAGAUCGUGUCAUUAUAAUUUUGGAAAAGUAAUUUUUGCAGAACUAAUUUUAGUUUUGGGAAUUGAUUUUUGUUAAAAGUUAUAGAGUGUUUAAGUGAGUGUUUAGAGGAAAACUUAUUUUUUCUGAAGUGAUUUUGUAAAGCUGUUUGACAAAAAAAAAAUUUACUAUUUGCAAAUAAUAAUUUUUUUAAAGAAUUUUAUUUUAAAAUAAUUGAGAGUUUGAAUUUAAAUUUACUAUUUUAAAUUUUAAAUUUGCAUAAAAUUUAAACAUUUUAAAUUUUAAUUUGAAAUAUGAAAUUUAUAAUUUAUAAUUUUCGCCCGGCCGUUUUACACCCCUAUUUGAACCAUUGAAUUUAGGGCAUGUUUGGUUCACCUAUUUUAGAUUAUGGAAUCGGAAUGUAAUUCAUUGAUUCCGAUAGUUGCCUGUUUGUUUUAUAGGAAUCAGAUUUUUCAUUUAUGAUCCAAUCCGGCUUUCGAUCCUGGAUUGACUCAUUUCAAAGUAAAUUAUUCAAAAUUCUCUUUCAUCACUACCUACCUCAUCUCCUUUCAUCACUUUUCUCUCUCUUAAUCAAAACCCUCUCUCAAAAAUUUUGAAUUUUCAUUCCGAUUUCUAUUCCAAUAAUGAACCAAAUAUUUUUGGAUGAUUCGUCAUUCCAUUUUCCAUUCCAAAGCAAUUCAAUUUUAUUUCUCAUUUUUAUUUCAAUCAUGAACCAAACAUGCCCUUAUAGUUUCAGAACGUUGACUCAAGGACUUUAUUCAUAAAACGAAUAUGACUUUCUCGUUUU